CGGAGCGUGGCGCAGUUUGGUAGCGCACCAGCAUGGGGUGCUGGGGGUCGUGGGUUCGAAUCCCGCCGCUCCGACCA
rnacentral:tRNA from 1 species